rnacentral:rRNA from 1 species
CGAUCCCAUGUCCAGAAGCUGGAAAAAUUUUUUGGUCAGGGAUGAGCUCGCGGCCUAUCAGCUUGUUGGUGAGGUAAUGGCUCACCAAGGCGUCGACGGGUAGCCGGCCUGAGAGGGUGACCGGCCACACUGGGACUGAGACACGGCCCAGACUCCUACGGGAGGCAGCAGUGGGGAAUAUUGCACAAUGGGCGCAAGCCUGAUGCAGCAACGCCGCGUGAGGGAUGACGGCCUUCGGGUUGUAAACCUCUUUUAGCAGGGAAGAAGCGAAAGUGACGGUACCUGCAGAAAAAGCGCCGGCUAACUACGUGCCAGCAGCCGCGGUAAUACGUAGGGCGCAAGCGUUAUCCGGAAUUAUUGGGCGUAAAGAGCUCGUAGGCGGUUUGUCGCGUCUGCUGUGAAAUCCCGAGGCUCAACCUCGGGUCUGCAGUGGGUACGGGCAGACUAGAGUGCGGUAGGGGAGAUUGGAAUUCCUGGUGUAGCGGUGGAAUGCGCAGAUAUCAGGAGGAACACCGAUGGCGAAGGCAGAUCUCUGGGCCGUAACUGACGCUGAGGAGCGAAAGGGUGGGGAGCAAACAGGCUUAGAUACCCUGGUAGUCCACCCCGUAAACGUUGGGAACUAGUUGUGGGGUCCAUUCCACGGAUUCCGUGACGCAGCUAAACGCAAUUUAA